CAUAAGGCUAAAAUAUUCGCAAAACUUAAAAUCAGCCUAAAACACUGAAAAAAGCCUAAAUUAGCCAAAACAGGUAGUUUGUAGCUGAAAUGUUAGCUAAAACCGAAAAUAGCCUAAAAGUCCUUUGGAUCUGCCAAAACGAAACGUCGAAAAAGCUAGCAUAAAAAGAGCUAAAUAGUUGAAGGAGCUGAAGAGCUACGGACGUCAAAAAACAAACUGAAGAAAAAUAAUUAUAAUGAAGAAAUAAAGAAAAAAUGAAAAAAAGGAAAAGUGUAUCUCUAUUAAACCAAUAUUCUAUCCUCUCCCGUCAUAGUUCAGACUGCAGAAGGAUGGAAUACAAAGUCUAUCUGGGUCUCUGAUAGUGUGUAGGGUGCCGGGCCAAAUGUGGAUGUGGGCCUGAUCCGGCCCGUGGGCCGUAGUUUGGGGACCCCUGCUGUAAAACGUACUAGUUUUCUCUCAAAUGUCAACUCAAUCACCUUUGCUGUUUCUCUGCGGCUGUAAGAUGGAGUAAAAAUGAGGCGUUUCGUUCUUCACCGGGUGACUCGACGGGACGUCAGUCAUCGCCUGACUCCAAGACUGCUGCUGCAGGGACACAAAUUCCAGCACUGGAGCCGGGACGUCCGAUUGGUGCGUGAAGAGACAGCGGAUCUGACACGGCAGAGACGACUGCUGUAAGCUCAGAUGCUCAUAAUAUGUGUAAUCUAACAGAAAAAAAUAAACAUUAAAAAGGAUUCAGUUUUAAAUGUGUUAAAUAAAUCAAAUAAAUCUACCUGAAUCGUA